CUGCCAUUCAUCUUCAUUUUAAUUGGGAACAUUUUGUGUUUGGUGUUUCUCAGCAUUAAUAAACCAAAAGCCCUGAGCUGUUUUGGUUAAAUCUAAUUAAUGGCCUCAAAACAGGAUGGAUUUGGCAGCGUCUUAUCAGCAAACGAAGUCUGCGCCACAGUGACAUCAUGGCUGCCCAUGCAGCUAAUGCAACCAGCAUCUCUCCAAAGUCUGAGUCUAAAGCUACCUGAACUCCAGCAGCUCGGCCACAGUAUGCUACAUAAUUUAUUAACCUGGAAGUGGACAUCAAUUUUCGGAAUCAGUUCAGAUUGUCCGCUCUGCAUCUUAAAGCAUACCAUAUGACAGCAGUUCCUUGACGAGAACGGUUCUCUUGACAUCCUCGAAGACCUUGCGGAUGUUGUCGGUGUCGGUGGCACAGGAUGUCCAUCUUGUUUAGGAAGAGGAUGAUGGAGGAGCUGGCGAACCAUGGCGAGUGGAUGGUGGUGUAGAAGAGUGACAAGCUUUCUUUCAUGCGGUUCUGGAGUCGGGGAGAGCAAGCAUUCGCAGCAGAAGUUAAUUAAAUGAGAGAGACAAGAGAUUACGCAAUUUAUCAGUGUUGCAUGGGAAAAGAACAGGAAGGAGCGUUUCAGGGAAGCACCUGGUCGUACUCGCUGAGGGAGGCUAAAAAUAUGAGCGACGUCACAUUCUCAAAGCAAUGGAUCCAUUUCCUCCUCUCGGACUUCUGGCCACC